UUUUGAAUACGUAGCCCUACCCACAAAUUCAUAAUCCGUGCGCACGCUUUCGCAAUCCGUUCCCUACACUGUAAAAUUUUUCCAGGAUUUCACAAGAUAUAACUGUAAUAUUUCACAGUUAAUUACAUUAUUACCACUUCACAGGCUUUAACUGUGAUAAUUCACAAUAUAAUACCGUAUUUAGACUUUUACUGUGAAAAUAAUGCAGGCGCGGGGCUUUUACAAGAAACUACUGUGAAUGCCGUCUUUUUUGAGUGGCAACUGCGGCAGCGUCAUCAGAGCUCUCUGAUCUACGUGGUCUCAUUCGGUGGAUUCAGACAGCGCAUUUUCUACAUUGACCGACGAUAAAUAAAGUUAUAAGGUGCUUCUUGGGCAUCAACCCAGAGACGGGCACAAAAUCUAAGAGGCAGAGAGGUCACAUGAACCAGCAAGUCUGCACUCAUUGUCAUUGACUUCGAAUGGAUGUCAAUCUAAUGUAAGCUGUGUUCCAAUUUAAGAACGGACUAAUGAAACACAGUAUCUGUGUUAAAGGAACAUGCUGACUUUUUGUGACUUUAUCUUAUUCCCCGUAUCCCCCAGAGUUAGAUAAGUCUAUACAUACCCUUCUCAUCUCCGUGCUUGCCGUAAGUCUGUCUGAGGCACCCACCGCUAGCCUAGCUUAGCACAAAGACUGGAGCACCUGAGAAGCCCUGUGGUGAGGAGCAGAGAGUUUGCUCAGAAUUGGAGUAAAUCACUCCAAAGAAGUAGCAGUGCUUCGCCUUCUGAGAAUAUAGUUCCCAGUAUGUAUACAGUUAGAAGAUGGUUGUGUCUCAUAUGACCUUGUUAUUUGUACACACUGUGACUAUACAAAUCACAACAUGUAAAUAGGAAAAUGUUGGCGUUAUUUU